rnacentral:rRNA from 1 species
GUGCCACCCCCCGCCGGUAAAACGGAAGAGUGCAGCCGUUAACUCGAAUUACUGGGCUGAAAGCGCACGCAGGCGGGUUGUUAAGUCAGAUGUGAAAUCCCCGGGCUCAACCUGGGAACUGCAUCUGAUACUGGCAAGCUUGAGUCUCGUAGAGGGGGGUAGAAUUCCAGGUGUAGCGGUGAAAUGCGUAGAGAUCUGGAGGAAUACCGGUGGCGAAGGCGGCCCCCUGGACGAAGACUGACGCUCAGGUGCGAAAGCGUGGGGAGCAAACAGGAUUAGAUACCCUGGUAGUCC